rnacentral:rRNA from 1 species
GUAGCGGCGAGCGAAACGGGAAAAGCCCAAACCAAGAGGCUUGCCUCUUGGGGUUGUAGGACUCCAAUAUGGUAGUUCAGUGAGAUAGUCGAAGGACCUGGAAAGGUCUGCUAGAAAGGGUAAAAGCCCCGUAGACAAAAUUUGACUGGCACCUAGGAGGAUCCUGAGUACGGCGGAACACGAGGAAUUCCGUCGGAAUCCGGGAGGACCAUCUCCCAAGGCUAAAUACUCCCUAGUGACCGAUAGUGAACCAGUACCGUGAGGGAAAGGUGAAAAGCACCCCGGAAGGGGAGUGAAAUAGAUCCUGAAACCGUGUGCCUACAACAAGUUAGAGCCCGUUAAUGGGUGAUAGCGUGCCUUUUGUAGAAUGAACCGGCGAGUUACGAUUACUUGCGAGGUUAAGUUGAAAAGACGGAGCCGCAGCGAAAGCGAGUCUGAAUAGGGCGAAUGAGUAAGUGGUCGUAGACCCGAAACCAUGUGAUCUACCCAUGUCCAGGUUGAAGGUGCGGUAAAACGCACUGGAGGACCGAACCCACGUACGUUGAAAAGUGCGGGGAUGAGGUGUGGGUAGCGGAGAAAUUCCAAACGAACUUGGAGAUAGC